UACGAAGGGGGCUAGCGUUGCUCGGAAUCACUGGGCGUAAAGGGUGCGUAGGCGGGUCUUUAAGUCAGGGGUGAAAUCCUGGAGCUCAACUCCAGAACUGCCUUUGAUACUGAAGAUCUUGAGUUCGGGAGAGGUGAGUGGAACUGCGAGUGUAGAGGUGAAAUUCGUAGAUAUUCGCAAGAACACCAGUGGCGAAGGCGGCUCACUGGCCCGGAACUGACGCUGAGGUGCGAAAGCGUGGGGAGCAAACGGG
rnacentral:rRNA from 1 species